GAGGUGGGCCAAGCUCAUCCACUUAACCCACUAAGAAAUAUAAAAGGAAAACCAAAUGGAUUUGUGCCCUUAUUUCGUAGGAAAAAAAGUUAGAAUGAGAAGGCUGGCAAGGGAAGCCACCAGCCCUUCGUGCAAGCCAAAAAAAAAAAAAAAAAAAGAAAGAAAAUAGAGAAGACUUCAACCCGUGAUUUUCUAGACAAGAAAGCAACGAGGGUCUGAAUUUUGGCGUUCUUUUGGAGGAACAAAGAGGACUCAACCAUCGAUAAGAUAACUAAGAGAAGUAGGAAAAGGAGAUUCUGAUAGCGAAGAAUAACAUGAGGAUCCUGGUGGACUAUGUUGCACACAUUGUAGGAAUAUCAACUUUAUGUCAAGUUUGCUAAAUGAAGAUUAUGGCUAGACCGAUGACAUUCCCCCUACAUAUUGUAUAUAGGGAUAAGAUUUACAUGGAUACUAAGAAGGUGGGAGCAAUUCAAAAUGGUAGAGUGCCACUAACCUUGUUAACAUAGAAAGUUGAAGUUUAAGUAGAGGGAGAAAUGUGAUCAAAUCUCAGGACUGGAGACAUUUUUAACCACUGCACAAUAUGCACCUUACAGCUAAGAUCCAUAUGAUUCACUUUAGUCUGCGAUGUUUUGAGGUUGGUAUUGGGAAUUCUUUUACUUGUGCAAAAUAAUGAUAUAAUAGUGACUCUAUCCCACUCAUAAUCUGGAAAUGAUUACAGUAAGAUUUGUUAUGAAGAUCUGGAGACAUUACUCAUAUGAGAAAAUUUGUGAUAUUAAAACCAACCACAAGAAUUACAUGUACAUUUUUCCAGCAAAGAUAUUUGAAUCCUUGGCCUUCUCGAUGUAUGUAAUCACUCUACGACUAUGAUUGUAAUAUUUUAUAU